UAAAACUUACUCCACCAAGGAGCCUCCAGUGAAGCCCUUGAGGAGACAGCAUUAUUAAUCACCAAGGGGCUGUCACCUACGAUGUCAAGCAGAUGCUGCUGCAGCUGUAGUAAGGGACCUGCUUCCCAGAGGCCCUCGUACUGGAAUUAGGAUGCACUUGGGAACUGGCAGGAUGCCCGACAGGCAGCCGUGGCUGUAACGGGGCUCAUGGCGGGGAUCUUCUUGCUCAGAAACUUUUCAUCAGAAGAGCAAACACAUGGCCUUCUUUACCUGGACACGGACAUCCUAGAAUCAACCAUGUCCUCAAGGAAUGCUGGUUCCUUUUAUUGGAGAAUGGAUUGGAAACGCAGACCCAGGCACUAGAUGGACUCACUGCCUCUGGAGUGUCAUAACUUCUGGGCCCUCUCUGCUGAUGGAGCUGGGAAAUAUAGGUGCAUAUAGUAAUCUAUGUGCACACAUCUAAUCCGAGUGACUUGUGCUGAUUGGACCAGCAAGGCUGAAGUGUAAAAUAUCCUGCAUCAGGAAAGCUUCAGCAGUGUAUGCUGGGCUUCCCUGGUGGCUCAGUGGUUAAGAACUCCCCUGCCAAUGCAGGGGACACAGGUCCGAGCUCUGGUCCAGAAAGAUCCCACAUGCCGCGGAG